UACGGAGGGUGCAAGCGUUAUCCGGAUUCACUGGGUUUAAAGGGUGCGUAGGCGGAUAGGUAAGUCCGUGGUGAAAUCCUGCAGCUUAACUGCAGAACUGCCAUGGAUACUAUCUAUCUUGAAUGUCGUGGAGGUUAGCGGAAUAUGUCAUGUAGCGGUAAAAUGCUUAGAGAUGACAUAGAACACCUAUUGCGAAGGCAGCUAACUACGCAAAUAUUGACGCUGAGGCACGAAAGCGUGGGGAUCAAACAGG
rnacentral:rRNA from 1 species